GUUGAUCCCGCCGGAGAUCACUGCUAUCUGAAUCCGGCUAAAGCAUGCUAGUCUUAGGUUAAACUAGGGCAUACAGCUCAGUAACACGUAGUUAACCUGCCCUUGGAUUUGAAGUAAUCUCGCGAAAGUGAGGCCGAUCUUCUUUAAGAUGAUUAAUCCUGGAAUGGUUUUUCAUCGAACCAAGGAUGGAACUGCGGCCUAUUAGCUUGUUGUCAGAGUAAAGACCUGACAAGGCUAUAAUGGGUACGGGCCUUGAGAGAGGAAGCCCGGAGAUGGAGUCUGAGACAAGAUUCCAGAUCCUACGGGAUGCAGCAGCUGCGAAACUUUCGCAAUUCACGCAAGUGUGACGAAGGGACUCAGAGUGCUUUCACUUCGGUGGAAGCUUUUUGUCAAGUCUAAAUCGCUUGUCGAAUAAGUGGUGGGUAAGACGGGUGCCAGCCGCCGCGGUAAUACCCGCGCCACGAGUGGUGAUCGUUUUUAUUGGGUUUAAAGCGUUCGUAGCCGGCCUGGUUAGUUCUUAAUGAAAUCCUGCAGUCAACUGUAGGGCUUGUUAGGGAUACUACCAGACUAGAGACCGGGAGAGGUUGAGGGUAUUAUAUGAGUAGGGGUAAAAUCCUGUAAUUCAUAUAAGACCACCUGUGGCGAAGGCGCUCAACUAGAACGGAUCUGACGGUGAGGGACGAAAGCUAGGGGAGCGAAGGGGAUUAGAUACCCCCGUAGUCCUAGCUGUAAACGAUGCCCGCUAGACAUUGGAUAUCUCACGGGGAUAUCCAGAGUCGUAGGAAAACCGUUAAGCGGGCCACCUGGGGAGUACGGUCGCAAGGCUGAAACUUAAGGGAAUUGGCGGGGGAGCACACAAGGGGUGGAGGCUGCGGUUCAAUUCGAUUCAACGCGAGGAACCUUACCAGCAGCGACAGCAGAGUGAAGGUCAGGCUGAAGGUCUUACCAGACAAGCUGAGCGGUGGUGCAUGGCCGUCGUCAGUUCGUGCCGUGAGGUGUCGUCUUAAGUGACGUAACGAACAAGACCCGCACCAUAUGUUGCAACUGUCUUAGUGGCAGGCACUCAUAUGGGACUGCUUGCGAUGAGUGAGAGGAAGGAGCGGUCGACGGCAGGUCAGUAUGCUCUUAAUCUGCUGGGUAACACGCGGCCUACAAUGGUUAGGACAAUGGGAUGCGACUCCGAAAGGAGGAGCUAAUUUCUAAACCUAAUCUCAGUCCAGAUCGAGGGUUGCAACUCACCCUCGUGAAGUCGAAAUCCCUAGUAGUCGCUGGUCAUCAUCUAGCGGCGAAUAUGUUCCUGCUCCUUGCACACACUGCCCGUCAAGCCAACAGAGUGGAUCUUUGGUGAGCUCUUAGUUUUUGCUAAAAUCGAGCCAGAGUUUUGCAAGGUGGGCUAAGUCGUAACAAGGUA
rnacentral:rRNA from 1 species